UAUAGAAGUAAGUAAUUAUUCUAAAAGCGAUGCAAGAAGUCAGCAGAGUUCGUAGUACCAAAAGGAAGCCGUUUGUCAGAAAUGAUAAAUUAGCCGAACCUUUUGGGAAGGAA
rfam:Microgenomates bacterium GW2011_GWC1_38_12 TS72_C0002, whole genome shotgun sequence.